rnacentral:rRNA from 1 species
AACAAACGCUGGCGGCGUACCUAAUACAUGCAAGUCGAACGGGGAAAGCUUUCGGGUGAGUACUAGUGGCGCACGGGUGAGUAACGCGUGGAUAAUCUGCCUUAGAGUGGGGGAUAACUAGUCGAAAGAUUAGCUAAUACCGUAUAAGACCACAAGAACUGCGGUUCAAGGGGUCAAAGGUUUUUCGCUCUAAGAUGAGUCCGCGUAAGAUUAGCUAGUUGGUGAGGUAAUGGCUCACCAAGGCGACGAUCUUUAACUGGUCUGAGAGGAUGAUCAGUCACACUGGAACUGAGACACGGUCCAGACUCCUACGGGAGGCAGCAGUAGGGAAUAUUGCACAAUGGAGGAAACUCUGAUGCAGCGACGCCGCGUGAGUGAUGAAGGCCUUCGGGUCGUAAAGCUCUGUCGCAAGGGAAUAACACAAUGAAUGUACCUUGCAAGAAAGGAUCGGCUAACUUCGUGCCAGCAGCCGCCGUAAAAC